UGUAUAUCGUGCCAUUACAUCGGGGGAACCCGCGGAUGAUCUCGAAUAUAAAUAGGAGGAAAUAUAAACAAAUCGGGAACUCACUAAGCCACUGCAACAAAAUACACCUGAAUAAAAUUUUUUGUCUAGUUUAUGAGAUGCAAUUUGCGCGAAGUGUCAAGUGUUAAAAUUGUAAUGUUUUUUCUAAAUCGGCAGAUUCUCUUCAGUUUGCUUGUCGUGGGCCCCAUUUUGUGCUUUGGAAAUGUUGGAGAGUCGAAGCCAAAAACGGGUGAGGCGUGCACUGAGGACUGCCGGCUGAAGGGGUAUUUCCUCGUGAAUGGAGAGGAAAUUUGGCUGACUAAACUCGACGAAAAGCAAUGCGAUUGCCUGCUUACGGAAAAACUGCUUGACUACCUGGGAAAGCGCUUCGAUGCCGACGAAAUCGCGGAGUUUAAGGAUCUAUAUAAACAGUCCGAUGUUCUCGGCCGGACAUGGUUGAAACGGAAAAAGAUCACCGUACAAAUUCCGGGGACUGAAUUAUUCCCGCUGCAUUCAGAAGGGAAGGGAAACAAAACAGAGCAGGGCAAGGAUCACUCCAAAGUUAAAGGACUGGUUCGAUCCAACCGGAUUACAGAGGAGUCUACGGAAGCCGCGAAGAUAGCGGGCUGCGAAGCGGAGUGCAAUAAAGCGCUGGGCUACGUCGUGCGUAAAGGGGAGCCCAAAACGCCGGUCUCCGUCGAGGCCUACAAUAAAACCGGGGACUACUGCCAGUGCCGAAAAAACCCAAUUAUCGUCGCCCUCCUCAGAGCUAAGUUACCUGACACGGGGAGCAACGAGUACAUAGAGGUCUUUGGAUGUAGAACCGGCCCCGGAUGGGUACACAAAAAUCAAAUCAAUCCCUAUAUAAAUAAACAAUUCCUGAAACGGUUCGGUCUCGAUGUUGAAUUCUCCGCCGACGCUGACGACAAAGCGGAGGAAAUAACAUGGCAGAAGCCGAAACCCCCUGUCCCAGAGGAAUUCAAAGGAGGUGCCGAAGAGUGCAACGCCAAGUGUCAGAAUGGUGAAGGACAUAUUAUCAUCCACCCUGGAGCGGAUCCCAAGGGUGAAGGCAACACCAGCCACCCUGCACUCAAUCCCAAGGGUGGAGGACACACCCACACCAUCCCCCCUGGAGCCAGUCCCAAGGGUGACAAGCAUGCCAUCCUCGACCCGACGGUACUUGAGCCUCAUGCGGUCAAUGCCAAGGCUAAUAAAAGCAAACCCGAUGCCGACAAAGUAAUGUACAUCGCGACUGGAGUCGUGAAGAAAUGGGUUGCGGAAGGAGCAGAGUAUGAUACAUGCAAAUGCGUGGUCAACCAAGAGCUUAUCGAGCACCUUCGUGCCUCUGGAUUGCCCCAACAGGAGUUCGCGACGGCUUUCGAAAAGGGAGCCGACAGCGGUCGCGUUUGGCUCACCAUGCACAACAUCACAGUUUCGUAUCAUAGGCCGGCCUGGGUCGACGAGCUCCCUGAAAAGAGGAAGCGUGCUCAAGAGGAGAAACAGGGGCUGGCUGAAGAGGGAAGCUAACCGAGGAAAAGAGUACGAAGAAGCGACACCGAUUUUUCCGCUUCGGGCGUGGCCACCAAAGUCGUCGUCGGUGAAGGCCACGUCCCGACAGAUCGUUUUCAUGGGAUCCGGUGAUCCUUGAAAUUGAUAGACAAAGCUAUCGACUAAGAGGACAAAAGGGAUCCUGUUCUGUGAGCCGAUUAUUGAAAUUGAUAGACAAAGAAGACAUAGGGGUAUAAAGCAAUCCUAUUGGUUGAAAUGGGUGGUUCUCAUAGACUGAGGGGAAAAUGAUAGACUAACUGUCGGGUCUCUCGUAGGUUGCCGUUAGUUAGUCUAUUACCUACCUCCUUUGUCCAUUGCAACCGCCCGCUUCUGCCAAUAGGAUCCCUCCAAAUCCUUUUUGUCUUCUUUGUCUAUUGCUUUGUCUAUCAAUUUCAACAAUCAGCUCGCUGCCUUGCUAAGAAAGCACGCCGUACGAGCCUUCAGACGUUGCCAAGUUUCCUUCCAUAAAACCCGACUUUAGUGGGAAAAUUGUGCAUAUUUUUUUCUUAAAUUUUCAGACGAUUCUACACGCAAUUCAAUCUAAAAUGCCUGAAAAUUUCAAGGACGAAUAUGCAUAAAUGUCGUCAAAAAUACAUGUUUUAUCAAGCGAGAUUUGGCAACUCUCGAAUGUUGAUACGGCGUUCUUCCUUAGCACGGCAGUAUUGGUGGAAGCAGCGGGUCGAUUGUUGAAUCGUUAUCGAAUGAACUCGAUCGAUAAAUCCCUAUCUUGGCAAUGCUUUUUAUCGAUCGAGGUCAUUCGAUAACGAUUCAACAAUGGACCCGCUGGUGCUUGUAAUGGACAAAGGAGGAAGGUGGUACACUAACCAAGGGUAACCCACGAGAGAAACUAUGCAUGGUUAGUCCAUCGUUUUUUCCCGGAUAGUUUGUAGGAACCACCCAUUUCAACCGAGAGGAUUCCUCCAUACUCCAUACAUCUUCUUUGUCUAUGACUUUGUCUAUCAAUUUCAAAAAUCAUCCGCUGUUCUCAGAGAGAGAUCAAGAGCUGCAGUUUGAAAUACGGGCUGAGUGGCACCCCAUACUUGUACGAGCCGUCUCGGAUUGGCUCAUUCACCGGGUGCCCGCUUUCUGGGGCCCUUAUGGAAAAUAACACAGAGUUAAUUUUUAAUCGAAAUAUCUCGAUAACAAGGAAAAAUUCAUGCGUCGACAUCGGAGAUUUCAGAAACCAAUCCUCCAAAUCUUUCUGAAGCGAUUAAUGGCUUGUACAUGACACGUGUUUCUCAAACACACCGAAUUCUUUUGUAUUUGUAUGACACUGAAAGUCAUAUUACAAGAUGAAAAAACAAAAUUCCAGGUCGAACUGUUCGGAGUGAUUGAGAAAAAAGUGUCAUGUUUAACCUUUCAAUCUCUUUAUAGAAAAAUUUGGAGAGUUCACUUCUAAGAUCUCCGACGCAUGAAUUUUUCUUUGUUAUCGAGAUAUUUUCGAUUAAAAAUAAACUCUGUGUUAUUUUCCAAAAGGGCCCCAGAAAGUGGGCACCAGGCGAAGGAGCUAAUCAGAGACAACUCGUAAACGUAUAGGGGGUGCCACUCGGUCCGUAAUUCAAUCUGCCACGGACUCGUUGUCAAACUUGUACAUACACUAUAAGCAAAAUAAAAAUCAACAUGCGUGCAAAGACAAGACUUGUUUUAUUUGUUCUUUACAUAAUUAUGUAGAAAUAUCCACAAGAUCAGCGGCACAUCG
rnacentral:lncRNA from 1 species